GAUGAAGAACGUAGCGAAAUGCGAUAAGUAAUGUGAAUUGCAGAAUUCAGUGAAUCAUCGAAUCUUUGAACGCACAUUGCGCCCCCCGGCAUUCCGGGGAGCAUGCCUGUUCGAGCGUCUCUUGGAAUACCCCUCACGCCGGCGGAGGCGUGGUCAUGGCGGCGGUGGCGUGCCCCGAGAGGGAGGCCACCGCGCUGGAAUCCAUGGGCGGACGCCUGCCGCGUGGCCGAGCGUGAUAAGACGCACUGGCGCUCGCGCGCGGCGAGGCUGCCGGCCCUGGCCCGCUCGUCGGGCGGGGACAGCAACACUUGGGAACUCCUCGAAUCAUGUAGGGAUACCCGCUGAACUUAAGCAUAUCAAUAAGCGGAGGA
rnacentral:misc_RNA from 1 species